AGCAGCCGCGGUAAUUCCAGCUCCAAUAGCGUAUAUUAAAGUUGUUGCAGUUAAAAAGCUCGUAGUUGAAUUUCGGGAUCAAUAUGUUGGUCGUGCCUUGGUACGUACUAAUUUAUUGGUUUCUUCCUUCUGACGAACCAUGAUGUCAUUAAUUUGGUGUUAUGGGGAAUCAGGACUGUUACUUUGAAAAAAUUAGAGUGUUUAAAGCAGGCUCACGCUUGAAUACAUUAGCAUGGAAUAAUGAAAUAGGACGUUUGAUUCUAUUUUGUUGGUCUCUAGGAUCGACGUAAUGAUUAAUAGGGACAGUUGGGGGCAUUAGUAUUCAAUUGUCAGAGGUGAAAUUCUUGGAUUUAUUGAAGACUAACUACUGCGAAAGCAUUUGCCAAGGAUGUUUUCAUUAAUCAAGAACGAAAGUUAGGGAUCGAAGACGAUCAGAUACCGUCGUAGUCUUAACAUAACUAUGCCGACUAGGGAUCGGAUGAUGUUAAUUUUUAAUGUACUCAUUCGGCUACCG
rnacentral:rRNA from 1 species